rnacentral:miRNA from 1 species
GAACCCAUGAGGUUGAGGCUGCAGU